rnacentral:rRNA from 1 species
CGGACGGGUGAGUAACGCGUGGGUAACCUGCCCUGUACAGGGGGAUAACAGCUGGAAACGGCUGCUAAUACCGCAUAAGCGCACGAGGAGACAUCUCCUUGUGUGAAAAACUCCGGUGGUACAGGAUGGGCCCGCGUCUGAUUAGCUGGUUGGCAGGGUAACGGCCUACCAAGGCAACGAUCGGUAGCCGGACUGAGAGGUUGAACGGCCACAUUGGGACUGAGACACGGCCCAGACUCCUACGGGAGGCAGCAUG